ensembl:lncRNA
GGGGGCUUGACUUGUCCACGUGGGCCCCCCCACAACCCCAUAGCCUCCUCAUUUGCUUAUGACCUUUUUAGUACAGUGUCAUGAACAUGAAGGAGGUUGAGGAGGGCCAGCGAGGUUUCCUCUCGGCCACAUUAGGUCAAUGGAAACUGAUUUCUUGACUCAUCUCCCUCUUGUCAUCACAAGAAUGUAAAUACUUUCCAGUCUCCCCUUCCUCCUCUUUAUCUCAUGGGUUUGUGACCCGCACUUGUUCCCUAAAUUUACUGGCUUAACUCAUUUUAUUUAUAACUAUUAUUCCUUCUAUAUGACCAUUUUCCAAGACAGGGGAUACAUGGUUUUAUUGACUGGAGAAGAAAACUAUUGCUUGUUAAGUAAGGUGGGUUAUUUUAUUUUAAAACAAUCUGAAAUCCUUUGUAGAAUACCAGUAUUAGGUAAUAUUUGAAAAGUCAGUUUUCUUUCCUGGACACAGAAACCCAUGCUUCUCUUCAUCUUGAGAGAAGGAAUGCUAGAAAGAAAACUGGCCAUCAACUCUCAGAAAUAAUUGAAGAAGGAUGCAAGAAUGUAUGGUAUCAAUAUAAUAUUAUUAUUGAGAAAUAGUUAACAUGUAAUUGUGAAGGUCAAGGCAAGCAUAGCUGCAGAGGCUCAGGGGUUCAGUCCAACUUCAUCACGCAGCUGAGGGCUGAGCACAGGGAAGAGACUGAGGGAGACAGGAGUGGUAUUGAGUGUAGACGGGCGCCCUUUCUUCAGUGGCUUAGUGGUAUCACAGGAUGACAAGGUUGGUGGUCAUUUAAAACAUGGAAAAGUUAACACGAACGACACUUUCAUGCUGAGGUGAUGGCGGCUCGCUCAUGGUUGCUAGUCAGAUAUGAAUUCAAAAAGAGGAUGCACCGCAGCGGGAGCGACAGCAAGUUGUGCGGCAGCAGAUGGUCUGGCAGCGGACUGGGUGGUAGCAGCUGGACACACCACAGCUGGGGCGGCAGGUGGUCUGGCAGCAGACUGGGCGCAGGCAGCUGGACACUCCACAGCUGGGGCGGCAGCAGGUGGUCUGGCAGCAGCUGGGCGGCAGCAG